rnacentral:rRNA from 1 species
GGGGGCUAGCGUUGCUCGGAAUCACUGGGCGUAAAUGGUGCGUAGGCGGGGCUUUAAGUCAGGGGUGAAAUCCUGGAGCUCAACUCCAGAACUGCCUUUGAUACUGAGGAUCUUGAGUUCGGGAGAGGUGAGUGGAACUGCGAGUGUAGAGGUGAAAUUCGUAGAUAUUCGCAAGAACACCAGUGGCGAAGGCGGCUCACUGGCCCGAUACUGACGCUGAGGCACGAAAGCCAGGGGAGCAAACGGG